rnacentral:misc_RNA from 1 species
GAGUUCGAGUCUCCUAACCUCCACUGAUCGAACUCAAUCUCCAUCUUCUGAAUGAUGGAAGGUGAACUCGAAUGUGAUGUGAUUUAGAUGUGUCCGCUGGCAUGACCCCAGCUUCCUGUCAUUCCAAAAUGACGUGACUAAUGACGAUAUUUUGGUUGAUAAGAUGCUGGGCUCGAACUGAUGAAUCAGUUUGAUGUCUAGCA